AGCUAACAGAGAGCCGUGCGGGAGGAAGACCAGGGAGUCAGAGUGGGAACUCUGACUCCCAUCCACCUGAGCCACCAGUGGACCCCAGGGAAUGUCACCAUCCUGCACCUUAAAGGUAGGAAACAUAAACACAUUAAAUAUAAUAUGUGUGUGUGUCUUUGUAUGUGUGUCUUUGUAUGUAUGUCGUGUGUGUAUGUGUGUCUUGUCUUUGUAUGUGUUGUGUGUGUCUUGUCUUUGUAUGUAUGUGUCUUGUGUAUGUGUGUCUGUAUGUGUGCCUGUAUGUGUCAUGUGUGUGUGUGUGUAUGUGUGCCUGUCUGUUUGUAUGUAUGUGUCUUUGUAUGUAUGUGUGUCUGUAUGUGUGCCUGUCUGUUAUAGUGGGCUAUAGUAAGUGGGCUACCUAGCUCAGCCUUCCUGCUGGGCAUUGCUAUAAGUAAGGUUAAAAAAUAGAAAAAAAGGGGAAAAAAAGGUAGGGAGGGGAAUUGAGGAGGGAGAGAAGGGGAGCUGACGCACAGAUGAGAAAUCAUAUUAUGUGCAGAGAAGUCGUCUGAAUAUCACCGAAAGAGGAGACCUUUGUUUGUUCCUUACGAAAAUCGAACCAGAUUUCAAAUAUUUAAUCUCGCAGCAUCAGCCUCAAGGUUCUCAUUAAUCUCUAGUAAAGGUAAUUUCAAUUUACUUUAUUGUUUUCUCAUUAAACUUUAUAAAGUUAAAAACAUUAUAAACAUGCAUUAAGUCGAAAUAAAAAGAUAAAUGUACGUACAUUUAUUUAUUUUAAAACGCCCUCCUUUCUAAAAAAUAUUCCGCACUUGCGUGAAAACUGGUGGGCUGUAAGGAAAUUUUUCCAUCAAGAAAGAUGCAUUAGUGGGCGGUAGGAAGAAAAAGGCUGACUACCACUGGUGUAGAGUUUAUAACGUUAAAGGGACACUCCAGGCACCCAGACCACUUCUGCCCAUUGGAGUGGUCUGGGUGCCAACUCCCACUACCCUUAACCCUGCAAGUGUAAUUAUUGCAGUUUUCAUAAACUGCAAUAUUUACCUUGAAGGGUUAAGUCCUCCUCUAGCGGCUGUCUACUAGACAGCCACUGGAGGACACUUCUGUGUUCAUAGAACACGAAAAGUGUGUUAUAACGACGCUGGAGGUCCUCACGCUAUGUGAGGACCUCCAGCGUCGCCGAAAUCCCCAUUUGAAAGCAUUAUUCAAUGCUUUCCUAUGGGGAGGUCUAAUGCGCACGCACAUUAGGUCUCCCUCACCGCCAGCCGCACAUGCUCAAUAGGUCUCCCCCGCCCGGGGCGGAACGUAAGUGGAGCCUGACCCAGCGCCGAGGGACAUCGGCGCUGGAUACAGGUAAGUCACUGAAGGACUUUUAACUCCCUCAGCAACAUGGGAUGGGGGGUGGGAGGGAGAGGGAACCUGCAGUGUGAAAACUGUUUGUUUUCCUGGCACUGGAGAGUCCCUUUAACCCCUUAAGGACACGUGACAUGUCAUGAUUCCCUUUUAUUCCAGAAGUUUGGUCCUUAAAGGGUUAAGCUUUGGGCUCAUGUACAGAUGUUUCUGGAGCCUAGCAAACCCCCCCACACCCCAUGUCCAGCAGGGUAAACACUGCAGUGCUCUGUAGUGGCUGUGGUGCCAGGAGUGCCUUGGUGCUCCUCCAGUGUAAGUAGUCAAGCUGUUUGCUAACGGUUUUACUUCUUACUCGAAAUCCACUGGGCAGAUGAUUCGCAAUACGAAACAAGUGAAGCCGACAAUGGACAAAAUUGUUUCGUGGUUCGGAGUUCUGUCUACAGUGCCAAAAAGCUAAUUGAUGAGAAAACAGAUAUUGGAACACUGUAAAGUUCACAUUGAACCAGGGUCGGUGCUGCCAUAAGACAAAUAAGGAAUUCACCUGGGGCGCUAACCUGUGUGGGGUGCUAUGGGCCACAGGAGGAUUUUUACCCUAUUUUCCUUAAAGGGACACUAUAGUCACCAAAACAACUUUAGCUUAAUGACCCAGUUUUGGUGUAUAGAACAUGCCCCUGCAGCCUCACUGCCCAAUUCUCUGCCAUUUAGGAGUUAAAUCACUUUGUUUAUGACCACUAGUCACAUCUCCCUGCAUGUGACUUGCACAGCCUUCCUAAACAAUUCCUGUAAAGAGUCAUCUAAAGUUUAUCCUUUCUUUAUUGUAAGUUCUGUUUAAUUUAGAUUUUCUUAUCCCCUGCUAUGUUAAUAGCUUGCUAGACCCUGCUAGAGCCUCAUGUAUGUGAUUCAAGUUCAAUUUACAGAGAAAGAGAUACAAUUGUUUAACCCCUUAAGGACUGGACUGUUUUUGCGAUGUUGUACAUUUGCGACCAGGCUUCUUUUUACACUUUUGUGGUGUCUGUGUUUAGCUGUAAUUUUCCGCUCUCUCAUUUACUGUUCCUAUACAAAUUAUAUAUUUUUUUUUAGGACAAAAAAAGCUUUCUUUACAUACCAUUAUUUAUAUAAUCUCAUGUAAUUUAAUUUAAAAAAAAAAUAUGAUGAAAUUUUUUUAAAAAAUACCGUUUUUUUUUACUUUUACUUGAAAAAUCUACAAAAGUGAAUAAAAGUGAAUAAAAAAAAUUGGAAAAUAAACACUUUACUUUUUAGUAAGUGUUCUCAGCUCCAUUUCUUUGGUUGAACAGAAGAUCCUCAGAAGGAGAGGGACAUCCUACUAAUAGUCCCAGUGCUGUUUCCAUGAGAGCCACAUGUCUUUGUUUGGCUCUCGGUUUGUGAGUACUUGACCACUUUUACUUACAUCUUUGCCACCAAGUUGCCGACAAUAUUACACUAUAUUGCUGUUUAUUUAUUUUUUGUCUAGAUAUUGUAAGAAGUGUGAUCCACCUACUGUAUGUAAUGCUUUAUGUUUAUUUGAGAGUGGUAUAAGGGGUUUCCCACUCAGGUGUUAGAUCGCACUCGCACUGUUCUCACUGUAUUUAUUAUAUCUUUUACUCUUUUAGGGUUACUAUGUUGCCCUUGAUGUCGUUUCCCAUUAACCCCAGGAAGGGGGGGGGGGGAUUGUUAUCGGAGCUGGUGUGCUUGGCUCUGGUGGGCCUUUUUAGCACUGUAAUGGCCGUCAGAGUGUGGGAGAACUACAUAUAACUUAAAUGAACAGUCUUAUUAACUUAAAAUAUUUAAACUAAUUAAACUAAGGCCUAUUUUUCGGGCCUCUGCUUGUUCCAGGGGUUGCGGAUGAAUCUGUGCUCGUUGUCCCUGGUCGAUGAUCUGGCUGUGUCUCUGAGGUCACUGCGAGGUUCGAUAUUCCCAAUGUGGUCAUCAGUGCUGGGCCCUCUGUGUGGUCGGUGGCCCUGUAGUGCUUGUCAUCUUUAGUGAUCCAGAGAGUUCCUGGUGUUGCCCAUCUAUAGGCGACUCCUGCGGCUUGGAGUUGUUUGGUGAUUGGUUGCAUACUUUUGCGCCAUAUCAGUGUGGCCCUGCUCAAGUCCUGAAAGAAGGAGAGUUUGCUAUCUUCAAAGUCAAGAGGUGUCUUCCCUUGGAUAGCUGCCAUUAGCACCAGUUUGUCCAACAUUGAUUGGCAUCUCAAUAUUAUGUCCCGUGGGGCUGAGUUGGGUGCUUGUGGGGAUUUGGUUAUCCUGUAAACCCCGUCGAACUGGAACGUUUUGGAUUGUCUAGUCGGUAGGAGUGUGGCCACAAGGCGUCUGGUGAAGUGUGGCAACUCUUCCAGCGGUAUUGAUUCAGGUACCCCUCGGAUUUUUAUGUUUUUUAUUCGGCGCCCUCUGUCAUCUAGGAGGGUAACUUGCCUGGACAUUGUCGCUUGUGCAGCUUGAAGGUGUCGCACCUUCUACCCCCAGUUCCUGGUAAUUCUCUCUUAGUCCCUUUACCUCCUCUUCUACCGCCUGAGUGUGCGUGGACACGGCGUGCACGUCUAGUUUAAGCACUGCCAGGUCCGCUUCCCACAUUUGUCUUAAGUUCUGUUGCAGGCCUGUCAGCAUAGACUGUAUAUCUUGUUUUGAGGCCGGUGCGCUGGCUUCUGGCAUCCACGUGUGUGUGGGGUGUUGGGGAUUAAGGUGUAGGCUGUCUAGCGGUUCUCCCUCCUCUGAUGGUACUGGGGAUGUUUCACGGGGUGUCUGUGCCUUUACUGCGCCUGGGGCCUGUAACAUUUGGCCUAUGUCGUGCUGCGGUUUCGGGGCGUUUUGGGGCAGUUUCUGCGUUCUGCGCCCCAACUCACCUGAGCUGUGUGUGCUGGGGUACCAGUCCUCAAAGUCUGGGACACUCCAGGGCCAGUGUUCUCCCAUGCUGGGUUGAGGCUGCCUCCCCGCCCGGUAGGCCUUGCCGCCUUAGCGUCUAUUUUUUGAGCCGGGUGUCAGGAGAAACGGCAUCGGCGGUCGCAGUGGGGUUCCCUGCGGUCUGUGGCUGAAUGUGUGGCCGGGAUUAAUGUGAGAUGCCUUCGAUGUUGCCGGAUUGCCGUGCGGUACCUCGGAGCCCCGGCAAUGUGCGUCCGCUCUGGUACGUUGCUAGGCUCCGCCCCAUCUUACGUGUAUUUUGAUAUAAAUAUAUAUAUUUUAAUAUCAAAAUACAGUUAGAAUAAAAUUUCAUAUAGAUAUAUAAUUUUUUUUAAUUUUUAUUAUUUUAAUUUUUUUUUAUUUAAUCUACUUAUUAUUUGUAUUUUAUAAUAAUAAUAAUAAUAUAUAUACAAUAUAUAUAGUUAUAUAUGUGUGUGUAAUUUAAUUAUAAGUGUAUUUUUAUAUUAAUAUAUGUACAAAUUAAUAUAAAAAUACACUUAGUAUGACUAUAUAUAUAUAUAGAUGUACACAUAUAUAAUUUUUUUUUUUUUAUUAACAUUAACUUUUAUUUUUUUAAUGAUUUUACACUAGCAGGGAGACUGCCCGUCAGCACAGCCAGUCCCCCUGCAGGCAGACACAUGGACACCUAUUGUGACCAUGUGAUCACUCUGUUGAGCGAUCACAUGGCCCCAGGGAUCCUAAUCCGCCAUGGGGAGACUGUCUGGGCUGCAGGCAGUCUCCCCACACCGGCAGCACUGCCGAUCACCGCCGGGGGAACGACGGCGAUCGGGUAAGUGCAUCUUACCAUUGUGACGGUUCAGGACCGGCAGCGGUAGGCAACGCAAAAAUGACGAUGACGGUCCUGAACCGUCCUCGGUCCUGAAGGGGUUAAGGUAAAUUACAUCUGAUUGAAAGUGAAACCAGUUUUUUUUUUCAUGCAGGCUCUGUCAAUCAUAGCCAGGGGAGGUGUGGCUAGGGCUGCAUAAACAGAAACAAAGUGAUUUAACUCUUAAAUGACAGUGCAUUGAGCAGUGAAAUAUGAGGCAUGAUCUAUACACUAAAACUGCUUUAUUAAGCUAAAGUUGUUUAGGUUCCUUUAAUAUUCUGGCUUUCAUGUCUGCCUAAGCACAGCAUAUGUUGAUUGGAAAGAACAUUUCAAUGCAAACAACCAUCCCCCUAUCAGUUGGUUUUCAAGCCCCCUCUCCCCCCAGUAGAAGGUAUGAUAGGUCACAGACAGGGAAACAGGUCCAUGUUUUGCUGAUUUAACCCCAUGCCUGCCUGUGGAAACUGACUCGCUCUGAAACAGUGUACUUCAUUCACUUUAAAAAUCAUUUAGAACUUUAAAAUUAACUCGGUAUACCCUCAAUAUGCCCUCAGUAUACAUUUUGUCACUACUCUUAUUAAUAACACUUUCAUUGGCAGUGUGUGUAUGUAUAUAUACUAGGCAAUCUGUAUGUAUAUAUUGAGUAGUGUGUGUAUGGAUGUUCUGGGCAGUGUCUUUGUAUGUGGAUGUAUGUAUUGUGGGCCGUGUAUGUAUGGAUGCCUGUAUUGUGGACAGUGUGUUUAUUGAUGUAUGCACUGGGCAGUGUAUACGUAUGGAUGUUUGUAUAGGGCAGCGUGUGUGUAUGGAUGCAUGGAAAUCGGCAGGGGGGAGGGGAUAAUUAGGGUCUGUUUGGAGAUAUAGUCCUGAACGUAGGUCCUGUAGCCUAAAAUCUUUUUGCCCUGAUAGGGUGCAACGAUCUGUGUGCCCGCUAUCCUUAAGAGUGGAAGCAGUGUAGUGACGGAGAUAGAGGGAAUAUGGCAUUCUUUCAUGUUCCCUGUGUAUCUUUAUCACUGUGCUGUUUCCUGUCUCCGCUGAUAUAAACUCAGAGAGCUGAGCAUGGAGAUGGACAGCAGAAGGGGCAGAAGAGCCUGGGGACAUUGAAAAUGAAGAGCAGGGAUGGAAGAAUGCUGUCAGCUCUCCCUACAGGAGGCUUGUGUGGCCACUGGCCCUUAAACAGAUACCGGUUUUGUAUUAUUGUGUGCCUGGGUGUACCUGUCUGUGUUUUUCUCUGUAUACCGAUUUGUGUCAGUCUGCGUGUGCCUGUAUUUAUUUACGUAUGACUGUGUGCCUGUCCGUGUCAGUUUCCACCUGUCUGUGUAUCUGUCCCUGACUGUGUCUGUCUGUGUGCGCAUAGAUGUGUGAGUCUAUCUGUGUCUGUGUGUAUGUAAUUGAUUGUGAGUAUGUCAGGAGGCAUGUUAUUUGGGAAGGACCAGGGAUGGGUCAUUUGGAAGGGGCACUUUAUAUACUAAGCUGUGUGUGUAUAGGUAGUGUCUCUGUUUCUUAAAUAUCUCAACAGUAUCUCUCCUUUCCCUAAAAGUUUCCCCGGUCCAUCUCCUUUCCCUAAAUGUCUACCUGUUCUUUCACCUUUCCUACAUAUAUGCCCAGUCCGUUCCCUAAAUGUCUUGUAAUUAAGCAGUUUUAAUGUUUAGAGCAUGCCCCUGCAGUCUCUUUGCUCGAUUCUCUGCCAUUUAGGAGUUAAAUCACUUUGUUUGUACAGACCUAGUUACACUACCCUGCAUGUGUCUUGCAUAGUCUUCCAAAACACUUCCUGAAAAAUAUCCUAGGUAUUCUAGACAGGGAUGUAUCCAUCGAAAGGCAAACAAGGCAUUUGCCCUGGGCGGCACUUUCCAGGGGGCGGCAAAAAAUUUAGCCCCCAAAUGCCCAGGCUAAUGCCUUGUUUGCUUCGUUUUAUGGGGGCCCAAGAGCUGGCUGGCCACCUUUAGGCCCCCCUGGGGCAGGCAGCAAUUUGUUUUCUGAGCGGGCGCGACCAGCAGUGAUCCCGGGAGCCGGAAUAUGACGUCAGUGUGUCAGUGAAUGUGUAUGUGUGUGUGUGUGUCUGUCAGUAAGUGGGUGCGUCUGUCAGUGAUUGUAUGCGUCUGUCGUUGUGUGUCUGAAUGAUUGUAUGUUUCUGUCAGAUUGUGUCAAAUCAGUGAGUGUAUGUGUGUAUAUGUCAGUGUAUUUGAGACUUGUGUGCUGGCCCGUGAGUGUGUGUCUGCCAGUCAAAAUGUGUGUUAAUUAACAGGAAGAGAUGUGGCCUUGGCAAGAAAGGGUGGGUAAAUUUAAAUUAGGGAGUGCCCGAGAUCUGCCAUGCCUAGGGCAGCACCAUUUCAAAAUACACCACUGAUUCUAGGUUCCUUUUUUUGCACAGUCUGCUUAAUCUUUAAUUUUGUAUCUCCUGCUCGGUUAAUAGCCUCCAAGACCCUGCAGGAGCCUCCUGUCUGAAAAUUAGAGCUCAAUUUACAGAGCAGGAGCAGGCUGAGGUGUGGCUAGGGUUGCAAAAUCAGAAACAAAAGUUAAUUAACUCCCAGGGAAUAUGCACACCACAGGCUGCUGGCCAUCUGGUCGCGUGAGUGUCCACCAGGAAGCGGCCACCUGAGGGAGAAUAGAGGCUACAAAGGAGCUGUACUCUUCAUGAACUUCCAGCACUGCCCCCUCAUGUGCACUGUUUAGUCUAUCUAUUUAGAGGCUGGACUGACAUCAUAACCCGGCUCCCAGUAUCACCACAGGCGGACAACAGGAGCAGUGCAGGAUAAGCAUAAAGAUUACACAAGCCCCACAAUGAAUCCCAGGGAGAGGAUCCACUCCAGCUCUCCCAAAUGUAGGGAAACUGGGUGGACUUAAAUGUCAGUGCCCUCUGUUUAUAAAUGUGUGUGUCAAUGUCCUCUGUGUGUAAAUGUGUAUGUCAUUGUCCUCUGUGUGUUUAUGUGUGCAUUAUAUUUUCAUUUUGUGACUUUUAUACUUCAGAUUAAUCAUUCAUAUGCUCCUCCUUACAUACACAAUGUUCACAUUAUGUCAUAUUUAUUUUAAAAAAAUUCUUUACAGUGUCCUCUGUAGGGCUUUAAUCAGGCUUGCAAGUUCAUACUCAUUGCUUAGAGCAGGGAUGGGGAAUCUUCGGCCGUCCAGUUGUUGUGGACCACAUCUCCCUUGAUGCUUUGCCAGCAUUAUGGUUGUAAGAGCAUUAUGGGAGAUGUAGUCAAAAACAUCUGUAGGGCCAAAGGUUGCCCAUCCCUGGCUUAAAGGGACACUAUAGUAACAAAUAAAACUUUAGUUUAAUGAAGCAGUUUUGGUAUUUAGAUCAUGCACCUGCAGUCUCACUGCUCAAUUCUCUACCAUUUAGGAGUUAAAUCAGUUUGUUUAUGCAGCCCUAGUCACACCUCCCUGCAUGUGACGUUCACAGCUUUCCUAAACACUUAAUGUAAAUAGUCAAAUAAUGUUUACACUUCCUUCUGUUUAAUUUAGCAUUUUUUAUCUCCUACUCCAUUAAUAGCCUUCUAUAACCUGCAGUGACCUCCUGUGUGUAAUUAAAGUUCAAUUUACAGAGCAGGAAAUAAAAACUUCUAAACUAAGUUACAGCUGACUAAAAAUUAACAUCUGUUUUAAUGAAGGCUGUCAGUCACAGCCAGGGGAGGUGUGGCUAGGGCUGCAUAAACAGAAACAAAAGUGAUUUAACUCCUAAGUGGCAGAAAAUUGAGCAGUGACUAUAGUGUCCCUUUAAGAUAGAGGCUCAUUAUUCGCACUGGAAUAAAGUAGUGAAUUAUUAUUUUCAUUGAUGGGAUGGACCUAGGUUUCUAAAAAGUCCAUACCCAUUGUGAUACGUUUUGCCUGUCAUGUUGUAAAGUGCAGCUAAAAAUCCAGAGCUAUACACUGUUUAAUCCUAUACAGGACAGAUCCAAUAGACAAUCAUGGAUAAUAUUUUGAUUUGUAUGGUAGGAGAUGUUCUCUUUUUUUUAUCUAACACAAAAUGUUAUCUAUGCAUUUCAUAGUAAUUUGUACCUAGCACAAUAUACAAAUAACAUUUUAUUACCAUCAAAGUGCCAUCCUAUUGUACUUGCAUAGCAUGGAUGCAAUUUAAAGCAAGGAUUCAAGGAUGAAAUUUCGACAUUAUUAUUUCGAAACCACUGAUUAGCGAAUGAACUGUACUGAGAAAACAUGAAUCCCCAUCAUAAAGACUGACAGUAUAAUAUCCCAGAUAGUGAAAAAAACCUGAAUCCCCAUCAUAAAAUACUGACGGUACCAUAUCCCAGAUAAACCCCAACUGCCCCAGAUAACUAACCUAGCCCAGGAGACCAGGUGAAUAAACAACAAGUCAGUCAAACCAACAAACAAGGGGAGAGAGAAACUGGGAGGGAAAUAUUCGCCUCCUGUCAUUAAUAAAAUUAAGAUUAUAGUUACACUAAAGCUAGUAUAAUCUACAAUUUUAUAGCAUGACAGGAGGCUUCAUAUUUGCUAUUUUAACGCUCGGACAGCAAAGACCAUAGAAACACGAUCCGCCGUACCAACCUAAACUCUGCGAAGAUAGCUCCUCGUAACAGGCAGGAAAGCGUACGAUGUCUUGGAGAAAACCGCCCGCCAUGUCGGUACCUGAAGUCGCCGUGUUACGGACUGAAGUGAACCGAAAAAACCUAUACGCCCCACCAAUGCCAACCACAACUAAGCGGUACAUGAAGGGCGAGAAAAAGGGAAAAACCAUUUAAACAAACGGUGACGUCGAACAUCGCCUAAAGGUGGGAGCGCUACCAAAGUAAGAAUAUGACCAUCAGAUCCGACUAAGGCUGAUAGACAACUAAGGUCCGAACCGCCGAACCCAUCUGAAAGAAAAACAAGGUAUAAUAACGGAAAUAACUCCAGAAUCAGUGAAUGGGCAAAACCCGACAGAACCCUCCAAAGGAGCAUGAUAAAAAUGCAUGUACCCCCUGGGGAGAUGAAUACCCGUCCUCAGGAAUCGUAAAGGGAAUUCUAAGCAGAGCGAGGCCCGCCGACAACAGUCGUACGCGCUACCUAAUCUAAUUAAUAUGGCAGUCCUCGGUAAUAAAGUGACCGAACAAUACCCGAACCCUGUAAAAGCGGUAGCAAAAUUGGGAGAUCCGUACCAGACCCAACUACGUCAGGGUCGCUAUGCAGACCAAAGUCUCACAAUCCCAGAGAUCAAAUGAGCAAGGGUCCAGGGAAUCCAGGAACUAGGUUCGACUCUGCCAAAGCGGAGAUCAUAAUUCCAAAGUAUCAGCAGACCGAGGCACCUGUAGAAAGGUCCUGAGACCAAACAAGCGGAGGAGACUCGUCCGCAUCUCCGUGUCGAACACUCCUGGAGGGAAGCGUCCAUCGCUGAGCAAACGGGUCCGUCAUCCAGCCGAACUGGUCCUCCUCCGUGGACUAAAGUCUUGAUGCCGGGUCCUCCCAGAGAAACUAUUCCAUAUGUACGAGAACUCGGGCAGAGGAGAGCAUAGGAGGCACCCCCUUGCCUCCAAUCCAUCCUCCAGGACUCUACUCCUUGAGAUGUAGAGGAGGUCGAUAUUUCCCUGGUUGAAAAUGAAAUCCAGGGACUCUAACAAGGGAAAACGCAGUUUGUGUCUGACCUUUCGGUUUGGGAGGUAGACCGUACAGCAAGAUGUCCUAUAUCGAUGAAGAGUCGCGUCCAGAUCCCAACGCGUGGAAAACGAGAAAGAUCUCUUCAAAUAGUUCUGGAAUUCCUGAAUGUCCUCAAUUCCUCCCAACCUGCCAACCAGGUUGAAUUGUCGCCCAAAUGACCGAUGCACAAGAUACCUAUCUCACCAGGGAGAAAAUAGAGGCCACCUUACCAGAACUGGGCCCCGCGGUCCCUAGAAGUUUCUUGAGGGCCGCAUCUAAUUCAAAGUAACCAAUGAAUAAACGUUCAAUCAUAGACUCGUGCUGGGACUCCGAGGGGCUCAGAUCCCUUCAUCCCAAGCACCUCCAGCAGACCAAAUUGCGUUUAGGAUAGGGUCAUCUGCCACCCCAGACUCUGGGCCCCGUCUGGGAUGUCAUCCAAAAGUGGAGGAAAGUGUGAAAUUCCGGAUCAAGGGUCCAAUCCCCUAUAAAAAGUACGGGUUGGAGCCGAGAUAAGCUUCCAUCAAGUAUUUCCAUGUAAAAAAGGACACAUAUUAUACUUCCUCGUAUGUUUCGCUAGCACAACUCACUCGUGUAGCGGACAACAAUCGCCUUGCCAGUGCGGACUUAAUAGUAUAAGCACUGCAGUGGGCUGCACUCAGGAUCUCCUGAAUACUAGACAGGUGCUUAACCAGCAAAACCACAGUGCCCCAUGGGGGUCUAAGUCUGGGUUUGCGGCUACUUAGUUCUGGAGCCCGGCUGGGAAUACCGCUCGAAUUAUCCUGCGGCUUCUCAAGCCAGCGGUCUACGGGCCCAGAAACGCACCGAUGGUGCUAGGUGAUCGGGCAGAGACCAUUCCAAAGAAACCAGGUGAGCAAUGGAUCGAGGGUCGAACAGGGGUUCGUUUAAGGCGAUCCACGAGACGACCUCUUCUUCCACGGUCGUCGGGGCCCCUGUAGUGGACUUUGUUCUAAGUGUCAUCGGCAGGGAGAUAGGGGCAGCACCCCAUAUAGUGACCGAGGCAAGUUGGGCAGCGCAUGCAAUGCACAAGCAUGAGUAUGUGGCAGUAGGCUUGGCAUGCAGACAUUCUGGCACAGACAACACAGGCCAGAUCAAUGGGGCACAGACAAAGCAGGCCAAUCAGUAAGGCACAGACAAAGCCGGCCAAGUCCUGGGGCACAGAUAAGUCAGGACCUUCAGAGAUGUACAGGUAAGGAACUGCGCAUUCCAUUCUUCCGAUAAAAUGUACUUUUCGCUCUUCAGAUAAGAUGUACAUAACACUUCUUCAGAUUAAUAGCACAUAACACACUUCUGUGUAACUGUAAUUAACACUCUUCUGUGUAACUGUACGUAACCUUCUUCUGUGUAACUUUACAUAACACUCUUCUGUGCAGCCAUACAUAACAUCCUUCUGUGUAAACAUACAAUACGUUCUUCUGUGUAACCGUACCUAACGCUCUUCCGUGUAACUGUACAUAACGCUCUUCCGUGUAACUGUACAUAACACUCUUCCGUGUAACUGUACAUAACUCUCUUGUGUGUAACCGUACAUAGCAUUCUUCUGUGUAACUGCACAUAGUAUAUUACUGUGUAACUGUACAUAGCGUUCUCCUGUGUAACUGUACUUAGCAUUCUUCUGUGUAACUGUACAUAACAUUCUUCUGUGCAGCUGUACAUAACAUUCUUCUGUGUAACUGUACAUAGCCUUCUACUGUGUAACUGCAUAGCAUUCUUCUGUGUGACUACCUAGCAUUCCAUUGUGUAACUGUAGAUAAUGCACUUUAGUUAAAUAGUGCAUGACACUCUGUAAAUAGUGAACUUGCAUAAUGAGUACCCCUGUAGUCAGGGAACUCACCAACUGAGUUACCUCACAAGAGGUGCUCCAUUGGUCAAUAUGAUAAAACAGAGCGCUGCAAGCAAUCAUCUGAACAAACAAAAAGGGGGGGAUGAGUAUAAGUGGUAACACUGCCGGCUGUGCCUGUAAACCUUAAGGGGUUGUGCACAGCUCUAUAUAGCAAGCCUGUGCUCUAUACCAUCCACUAUGGUCCCCAGUAGCCUAACCUGCCAGCCACAUGGGGCACAAAGCCAGGACAGCCUGAGGGUGCAAUGCGCCCAAGUCAUAGCUGAGUCCCAGUCAAAGCUACAGCACCUGUGACUGCCGUCGACGGAACUAAUGCGGUAAGUCUGGAAACUGGCCAGCCCCGCCCCCACCCGGCCAUGCGGUUGCGGGGAAGUGGAUUCUCUGUGCCGCCGCACUGCAUUGGAAGGUAUCUACCAUCUAGCCCCCCCCCCCGCACACUGUGUAGCACUGUUCCAGGAAGCACAUUUAGUAACCAUCUGAGGAGUGGCCAGUGGAUGUAUCUCUCUAGGCUGUAAUGUAAGGACUGCAUUUUCUCUGAAAAGACAUUGUUUACUGCAAAAAGCCUGAAAGGAAUGGUUAAACUCACCAGAACAAAUAGAAUGAGCUGUAGUUUGCUCUGGUGACUAUAGUGUCUCUUUAACCCCUUAAGGACCAAACUUCUGGAAUAAAAGGGAAUCAUGACAUGUCACACAUAUCAUGUGUCCUUAAGGGGUUAAGUGAAAAUUCAAAGUGAAUUUAAAAUUUAAGGCCAGAGUUGCUCAAGUGAAAGAACAGCUAACAGAACAUUUUUUCAGUUAGACUAUUACUUUGAAUUUAAAAUUCACUUUGAAUUCUCACUUUAGUAAAUAGCCCUGUUAAUGGUUGGUAAUAAAUGGAUAUCCUUGAAUACCAAAGAAUAAAUGCAAUACCAAUUACGUGGCUGAAAAUAAUACAGUGUUUAAGUACUUGCUGAUUUCUAAGAGACAUCUGAUUACUUAAUAAUUUGUGCGUAAUAGAUUUGCUUGUCAUAUCAAUGAAAUAAGCUUCACUGGCAACUUUGUGACAUUGAGAGUUCUCAUGUUCUAAUAAUUGUGUUAUGAUGUGUCUUCAGUUGCUGCAACCUUGUAUUAACUGUUUGUUUAUACUUUUCCUGGCAAUAAAACAUGCAGAUGGAAUAAUGUACACUGGUUUUUUUUUUUUUUUAAAUUGUUUAUAUAUAUAUGUGUAUAUAUAUAUAUAUAUAUAUAUAUAUAUAUAUAUAUAUAUAUAUAAUUAACCAUUUAAGAACCGAGUUUCAGUUUGCUUGUUUUGUACUUAAGAACCAAAGCAACGUUGACAUUUGUUUAACCCCUUCAGCCCAGUGGGAGUGGAACCCUGAGGGUGGGACCUAAAGACCAUAUAGUGCCAGGAAAACUAGUUUCUUUUCCUGGCACUGUAGUGAUCCUUUAACAUCUCCUCAGUACAGCAAUACUCUUUGUAUACCUUUGCAAAGAAACAAUCUUAAUCCCUUCCCUAAUCCUAUACCGAACUCUAAUGCUAAAUCAGAUCAUAAUCCAAUCUAUUCCUAAUCAUAAACAUAAAGCUCACCCUAAUCCUAGUCCGAACCCUAAUCCUAUUUCUAACUCCUAUAGCCCUAAUCCUUACCUUAAUCUUAAUCAUAACUCUAAUAAUAGCGUUAAAAGGAUGCCCUCUGCUGAUAUCCGCAGAAAAAUUCCCUUGCCUGCACUAAUCCUAAUCUGAAUCCUAAUCCGAAUCCUAUCAAAAGCAUAUGGGCAUGGAGGAAAUGUCUCUGCGGGUCUCCCACAAUCAAGCUGCUCCAGAGAAUCACCAUGGCUGAGCGACAUUGCUUCUUCAGUUGUUAGAUCAAUUUCAACAUUUGACAUUGUGACAAGCUCACGGCGUCAUUUUCGUGAAAGUUUUCCAUUUAUCUUGAUAUCGCUGUAUUGUGUACCUGUAUUAUACAUAGAGCAGUGUGUGUCUGUAUAUGCAGUUGCGGGUCAACAAUAGGGAGGGGGGGAGGGGGUUCCUAUAAAGUAUAAUUAGGUGUGAAAUGUAUUCUGUGGGCUAAUCAGGUUAAAUGCUGCACUGUGAGUGACCACCUGCCGUGGGAGCCAGCAAAUCUAUCUACUACAGCAAGGGGCUGUGUUGAUGUAACCAGAGAUUGCUGUGAAGGGACAGUGGGUCCAAUCAAGAUAACCUUUUAUUGUCAUGGUGUAUUGGCACAGGGGGAGGUGGUAAGUCUUGGAAGGAAUCCCUUUGUUGCUUUGUAUUUCUUUCCCUGUGAUCUGAUCUGUAUUCCCAUUGGUGAAAGUUUUGUGUAAUGUUUAUUUUACUGUAUGCUGUGAUCUUUGUUAGCUGGAUACAACAAACAGGGUCAGAUGGAGUCUGAGUUCCGAGGAGUUAUCAAGAAAGAAGCUGGUAUUGUCUCUUCCUUGAGGUCUCACAGGAAAUGGUUAUUCAUUGUCCUCUAUAUAAUAAUUACUAAUAAUAGUAUUGCCAGAAGACUGGAUGGAUAGAAUAUCAUAUAGUAACCAGAUAUCAGCUCAGUAAAUCCUGCAUAUGCUACCAAAGGGGAGUCCUAGCAUUUAGUGGAGCAGUUUAGUGCUGCAAGUUAUGUAAAAAGAAUACCCACUGACGAUAUAUUAAGGCUGUAUCGUCACAUACAUCAUUUGGCUUUAACAUGGCUGUGUAAUACAAAUGCAAAUACAAACCUAUAAAAUUAAUCAUGCACUGCCGCCAUCCCCAUGUGUUCCCCAUUAAAGGUUAAUAAUUGUGUUGGGUUUAGAAAUAUACCCCUCUCUUUCUCACUUUAAUGGCCAUUCGACUACUACAUAAAAAUCUCCUGUUAUUUAAAUGUGCAUAGGAAUUUGGGAUAGUGCACAAGUAACUUUUUAUUUCCUUGUUUUUUAUUGUAUAUAUUGGGGUUGAUGUGUACUAUAGUCAUUGCCAACCAGAGUAGUGGGCGUUUGAGCGCAGGGCUUAAUUUUGUAUUUGGUUUUCUAUUACAUAGCUAUACUACAGUGCUGUCUCCUACCCCAUGUGCUCCCUAUUAAGUGUGUAUGGGUUUAGAAAUAUACCCCUCUCUGUCUCAUUAGAGAUUUUGCCUUUUAGUUGAAAGAAGCAAGGUGAAAUGUUAGUGUUGGACUCACCUAAGAGAUAUUGCCUUGAAGUGGCAGGUGAGCUUACACUUGAAUUUCACCUGUCUUGUUUUUUAAUUACUCACUGUUACUAGUAGAUAAAAUAGAAGGUCCAGGCACUCCAAGGUACAAACCAGACAAUUUUAUUGAACCCACUCCAUCACAACAUUUCGACCUACACGGUCUUUGUCAAGCAUUUGGUCUCUGGUACGGAGACUGUCCGAGUUGCACCCAGUUACAUACUACUUAAAGGGACAGAGUGCAGUUCCACACCCUACCAUAACUGUUACUAGUAGAUGACUCAUCUUACCUUCAUUAACUGCUUAACUUUCUUUCCUUGGCACCACUUUUGAGCUUGUAAGUGGCUAACAUUGGUACUAAAAUAAGAAAUAAUGGUCUCAGGCAAUUACAAAGCCAUUAUAAUAAUCAUCUGAACACCAUGAUACUUUAUUUCAGUGAAGUUGUUAUGGGGCCUCAAGCUCCCCAGCGUUUACGUGAUUAUCUGUUCUGAAAUGGGAACAUAACAUAACCCACAGGGCAUGAAAAUAAAUAUGACAUAAUCAGUCUAACAAGGUAUGCUAUGUUUAACCCCUUAAGGACCAAACUUCUGGAAUAAAAGGGAAUCAUGACAUGUCACACAUGUCAUGUGUCCUUAAGGGGUUAAGGAGGAUCUGUUUGUCUAAAUUGGAUGUGCAAAUGGUUUGUGGUCAACAUGUAACUACAAGUGACACAACCAGAGCAUUUGUAACAACCUUUCUUCUGUAAGGGUUUCUGAGCCUUGUGCAACAGGGUGCAUUGGUUUUAAACAGAAUAUUUUUAACAUUCUUACUUCUUCUGUAUGCUGUCUGUUAGUUUCUGUAAAGACUGAAAUUUGUAGUAGUCUCUAGACAUGAGAUUGCAGCUCUUUCUAACGGACAAUGCAAUCUGAUCACUUGUGGAAUCAAAGGAAUUGUAAAUUUAGAAGUUAGUUUCUUUGUACAAGUGGUGAAGUGCUGUCCAAGGACUAAUGCAAUACCUGCUUACUAAGACCCCUUUCAAGGAAAGACUAUGUAAUUGCCUCAAUUUGUUGCUCACAUCACACUGUAUCAGAAUUGUUCAUUAGCAUCCUUAAAAAUUGUAAGAGAGUUUUUGAGAGAUGAUGGAUGAAAUAUAUUGGCGUGUAACAAUGCAUUACAGUCUGACACUUUUUAUAUAUACAAAGUGUAUCCAGCAUGGUUUUACAGUUGGUUUUCAAAAUUGUAUGUUAAACCUAAUUGAAUAUGGGUGCCCUCGUUCCUCAAAUCCUCAACUAUGAGCAUACUAGAAAUGGGUCCAUUCCACACAAUGAAGACGUUAUCCACAAAUCUAUCAUAUAUCAAGAAGAAACUAUUGUAACUUAGCAAAAUCUUUGCUCAUUAUUACUUGUAUGUAAAACAGUUGCAUAAGUUAAAGUUAAGUUGAACCCAUCACCAUUCUCUCUUGUUUGAUGUAUACUUUUUUUCAUAUCUAAAAUAAUAGUUGGUAAGAGUCAAUUCCAAGCAUUCCAAAAUAAAUUCAAUAGCAUAUGUGGAAGUAUUGUAUAAAGACUCUCUGGCUAUAGUCACAAAUACCACAUGAUGGUUAGAAAUGAUAAUGAUUAAGUUUGUCACCAGUGUCUUUCAAAUGCUUUAGCCUAGGGUUCCAAUUUCUCUCCCUUUUUAAUUUUUUAUUGUUAUUUUUAAAUUAUUUAAAAAUUUUAUUGUUACUUUUUUCUUAGGGUCUAUGUAAGUACUUUUCACAGUAUACAUCUACCAUGAUUGUUUCCAUCUACAUUGGUUUCUAUAGGUUGCACAUAAGAGCGGUCCAUCUUGCAUUGAUUUAUCAGAUUGCAUUACUACUUUGGGUGAUAAGACACACUUUGGCACUUUUUAAUUCUAAGUAUUCACACUUACCUGAUAGAAUGUUUCCUUGAAACCGGGACAUGCAUGUUCUGAAGUGGAUUCCAUGGUAUCAUGUUGUAUCAUGGCGUGUGUGUGUGUAGAGUGCAUUAUGGGAAAAAUGCCAUAUACGGUUCUUUUAUCUUUAGGAUAUUAUUAUGAAAUGUAUACCUAUGAUUGGUGUAAGUUAACAUGUCUUACAUUGUGUUAUUUCAGUCCUUCAAAGGAUAAAAAAACAAGGUUCCAAGAGCAUGGGGAUGAAGAGGGUUCGACCCACCACCUAACAGGACAUCUAACAGUUAUCCCUGAACUUCAUCUCUAUCCCUAACACCUAUUUUUCUUCUCCUAUUUCCUACUCUACUAAAAAUAGAAAAUGAAGCAGUAGACAGAGUAAACCAAUUAAGUUCAACGACCGACCCUCAACAACGCAUGCGUGCAAGCUAUCAUUCAUUAUUAUGUACCAAGGGUUUAUUUAACAGUAUUGCCAUGUGAUGCAUUGUUACGCAAAACAUGUUGUACAAUGUUAUUGUCUCUUGACUCCUGUACUCUCUGAACAAUCUGAUGUAUAUCUCAUCUACUUGCCUUUUUUGAAAAUAAAGUAUAUAAAAAAACAAAAACAA
rnacentral:lncRNA from 1 species